UUUAUUUCGAACUUAUGUUAUAAUUAUUCAUUCGUUGAAAUAUUCUGGAAUUAAUUAAAUAAUUCCCCACAAUUAAUUUAAUUAUUACUCAAAGAUUCAAUUAGUUAUUGGCCCAAGGAUUUAAUUAAAAGCCCAAGACUUAAUUAUUUUCUCCAUCUUAUAUCUUCAAUUACAAAUUAAACCCAACAAUUAAAAGGAGCCCACCUUUACUAAUUCAUCCAAUUCUAAUUAAUGAGGCCCAAUCAUUUUAAACCCAAAGCCCCAAAUCUUAAAAGAACCAAGGCCCAAAUCUUAUUAAGACAAAAGAGCCAUUUAUUCACCAUCAUCUCCACGCCUUUUUUUUUUUCUUUCUCUCUCCCCAUCUCUCUUCUUCCCCCCUUCUUCUUCUUCUCUCGACGAAAAAAAGAUUUGCAAAAGCUCGACGCCUCCUCCGACUCGCCGUCGCGCCAUCGCGCCGCUGCUGUCGUCGUUCGUCCAGCCAGGAGAUGCCGCCGCCGUCGUCGUGCAGCCGUCGCCGGGAGGGGCCGCUGCCCGCCGCCGCAAGGAGCUGCGACGCCAGCCCCGGCUUCGCCUCCGCCAUCGUCGCUGCUCCAGCCGCCCCAGCUCGCCGCCGCUGUUGUCGGCUGAUACCGCACCUGCCCGGCAGCCUCCGAAUAGCCCCGACCGACUCCGAUGCAAACCCAAACCAACCCGAUUCGCCCCGACAUCACGGAGGAGGAUAAUAUCUGUAGAAUCUUUAAUUAAAAAAAAUUAAAGCCGAUUGAUGGCCAAAUCAACCGGGAAAAUAAAUUAAGUUGGUUUAAUUCACGGUCCUUUGUAUUUUAUUUUAAUUUGUGCAGUCCGCAAUUUAUUUAUCACGGACUGGAUUUUAUGUUAUUUAUUUAAUUUAUCGGAUCCAACACGGAA